GCAGCCCCUGCCCUGACGGACAUCACCGUCUAGUUAAGAAGGAACGAGUGACAUCAUUGCCCCAGUUCUUGAAAACCAGGAAGGGCACAGAGGGUGCCUUGCAGAGUCCCCCACGCAUUUCCAAGACGUUGCCAGAAGCCAAUAUCAUACCUCGAAGCAAACAAAAAAAUCCAGGCUCAUUGUUUCGCACCUAUGCUUGAAACCAAGCCCAAGCUUUGCUUUGCAAGAAGAGUCGUCAUCCACAAAGGCAGACCAGCCUCGUGCCAGGGCAACAAGGCGCCCUGAUGUGUGGAAGAACAGGAUGAACUUGGGUGUGCCUGUCUCAGGCCUGCUGCCCAGCUGUCCACCCUAAAGAAAAACUAUCCAAAGUUAAUACAGGUCUCCUCCUCCACAAACAACUGUAGGGAUAAAGUUGCAGCCCCAGCAGGUAUUUUUCAUGGGGAAUUUUAGACAUCUGUGUCUUGGGGCGGCUACCCAAACUGCACAUUGCAGAGUCUCUCUACUGUGAGGUAUUGGACUCUCCGUCUUUCCACCCUUCACCUCUUCCAGGCCACAGGCAUUCCGUUCUGCCUCACCUCUCUUCACUGGGACAUGGCAAGUAGUCUUUUCAUUUCUAAAAGCAAAAUGAAACAAAAAACAAAGGUGAGUUGGAUUGCAAAACAGUAACAGUGCUCUCUUCCAGGAUGUUGCUGGGUGUCUCGGGUAGCCUCUCACCACCUUCCAGGCGUUAGCUGGUCAGGAGUCGGGCUUCUCAGAGACAUCCUGAGUAACUGCUCUUACAGAUACUCCAAGGUGAGAAAGCUCACAAUGGGCAGAGAAAGUGUAGUUCCACCAGGAACAAAUGUCAUCAUGUACUCCGGCUGCUGAUUAAGAAUAGCCGGUAACCUGGAAGCAAGGCCCCACCCUAAGCAAACACUCUAACGUGGG
rnacentral:lncRNA from 1 species